GCAUGAAGCAUGACUCAAAUUUUGUGAGGCUGAGUAAUAAAAAGUCAUUUCUUUUCCUUCAAGGGCAGGCUACCAUGAGACUGACAGACUCAUGGUCUCAUUCAGCCUUUCUUCUACAAUGCCACAUGGACAGACAACUUCAUUUAGUCAAGGAAGCAUUUGGAGAUGUGGAAGCCCACCAGACAGAGGUGCUUCUGCAGGUUCUUUUCCAUCUCCAAAAAUCUUCCCUAGCAAUUAAGCUUCACACCAGAUUUUUGAGACCCAGGUAAUCAUCUAGCAGCCAACUGAUGCCUGGCAUCCUUAGCUGACAGCUGAUCAGGCACAUAAAGGUUAAUUCUCCUCUUAUACGUGCCAAGCUUUAUCAAAUCAGAUGAGACCCAUGAAGUUUUGAAAUUUGACUGUUAUUCCUACAAGUUUGUGUUAUGCAGUGUGGACAUUCAUUAUAGCACUAGCUGUUACCAUCUGUCACUGCAAAAAGAUGUACUUGACAGAUGUCUUUACAGUUGCCAUUUUGAUAGUGCAAGAAUAGAGAGUGGCUGUUGUAUUCUUCAUUUGAUAUACUAAUUAAGUCGCUACCACUUAAUUAAAAGAUGUGUCUAUUUCUACAUAUCUAUUUCUAUAAAACAGAAUUCCAUUCCAUUUUAGAAAAAAACUAAUGGGAUAAAUUUACAGGUGGGUUCACUUCCCUCAUCCAAAGCACUGCUAUAUGUUUCAGUCGAAGUGAGUAUCCACUCACUUCAUUAAGGGUCUUAUUUUCUCACUACCCAAGAGGUAUUUGCGGCCUUUUCUCUCCUGGAUCAGUGGAAGAAUUUAUACAUGUUGAUUCUGUUGACACCUUCCUUAGCUAGAAAGAGGUACUUUUGCCACAUAUUUUCCAUUGGCUUCCAGGUGGCAUAAUAUUUAAUUAAUAAGAUUAAUUUAAUUUUUCUCAUCAAUUUACCAGAAAAAAAAUCAUGGAUGGAUAAUAAGAAAUGGUUUGAAUUUGCGACUUUCUUUUUCUGAAGUCCUUAAAUUCUCACUACAUUAUCCAUUGUCUCUUUGUCAUUUACGCUUAGAUAUGGCCCUGGCUAGAUUCUUCAGAGCACAAUUAUCCAAAUUUUAAAAUGUACAUAUGAGUGAGAAAGAAAAGAAAUAUAACAAAUACCUUUUUUCCCAGUUUCACCUCAAAUACCUGAAGUUUUUCGCCAUUUAUCUGUCACACAUGCUAACACGUUUGUCCUUAGAAUAAAUUCUUGGAACAUUUUACA
rnacentral:lncRNA from 1 species